rnacentral:rRNA from 1 species
UAAGGAAUAUUGGUCAAUGGACGCAAGUCUGAACCAGCCAUGCCGCGUGAAGGAUGAAGGUCCUCUGGAUUGUAAACUUCUUUUAUAUGGGACGAAACCCUUUUAUUCUUAAAAGAUUGACGGUACCAUACGAAUAAGCCCCGGCUAACUCCGUGCCAGCAGCCGCGGUAAUACGGAGGGUGCAAGCGUUAUCCGGAUUCACUGGGUUUAAAGGGUGCGUAGGUGGGUCUGUAAGUCCGUGGUGAAAUCUCCAAGCUUAACUUGGAAACUGCCAUGGAUACUAUAGGUCUUGAAUACCGUGGAGGGGAGCGGAAUAUGUCAUGUAGCGGUGAAAUGCUUAGAUAUGACAUAGAACACCAAUUGCGAAGGCAGCUCACUACACGAAUAUUGACACUGAGGCACGAAAGCGUGGGGAUCAAAC